rnacentral:rRNA from 1 species
UACGUAGGGGGCGAGCGUUGUCCGGAUUUAUUGGGCGUAAAGGGCGCGUAGGCGGCCCGCUAAGUCGAACGUGAAAUCCCCAGGCUCAACCUGGGAACUGCGUCCGAUACUGGCAGGCUUGAAUCCGGGAGAGGGAUGUGGAAUUUCAGGUGUAGCGGUGAAAUGCGUAGAUAUCUGGAGGAACACCGGUGGCGAAGGCGGCAUCCUGGACCGGUAUUGACGCUGAGGCGCGAAAGCUAGGGGAGCAAACGGG